rnacentral:rRNA from 1 species
GAUGAACGCUGGCGGCGUGCCUAAUACAUGCAAGUCGAGCGAACGGACGAGAAGCUUGCUUCUCUGAUGUUAGCGGCGGACGGGUGAGUAACACGUGGAUAACCUACCUAUAAGACUGGGAUAACUUCGGGAAACCGGAGCUAAUACCGGAUAAUAUUUUGAACCGCAUGGUUCAAAAGUGAAAGACGGUCUUGCUGUCACUUAUAGAUGGAUCCGCGCUGCAUUAGCUAGUUGGUAAGGUAACGGCUUACCAAGGCAACGAUGCAUAGCCGACCUGAGAGGGUGAUCAGCCACACAGGAACUGAGACACGGUCCAGACACCUACGGGAGGCAGCAGUAGGGAAUCUUCCGCAAUGGGCGAAAGCCUAACGGAGCAACGCCGCGUGAGUGAUGAAGGUCUUCGGAUCGUAAAACUCUGUUAUUAGGGAAGAACAUAUGUGUAAGUAACUGUGCACAUCGUGACGGUACCUAAUCAGAAAGCCACGGCUAACUACGUG